rnacentral:rRNA from 2 species
CCAAUAGCGUAUAUUAAAGUUGUUGCAGUUAAAAAGCUCGUAGUUGAAUUUCGGGAUUGACGUAAUGGUCGUGCCUUAAGGGGUAUGAACUGUUACUGUUGAUUUCUCACCUUCUGGAGAAUCUUGAUGUCCUUAAUUGGGUGUCUUGUGGAUCCAGGACCUUUACCUUGAAAAAAUUAGAGUGUUUAAAGCAGGCAUUU